rnacentral:rRNA from 1 species
ACACUCCUGCGGGAGGCAGCAGUGGGGAAUAUUGCACAAUGGGCGCAAGCCUGAUGCAGCCAUGCCGCGUGUAUGAAGAAGGCCUUCGGGUUGUAAAGUACUUUCAGCGGGGAGGAAGGCGAUAAGGUUAAUAACCUUGUUGAUUGACGUUACCCGCAGAAGAAGCACCGGCUAACUCCGUGCCAGCAGCCGCGGUAAUACGGAGGGUGCAAGCGUUAAUCGGAAUUACUGGGCGUAAAGCGCACGCAGGCGGUCUGUCAAGUCGGAUGUGAAAUCCCCGGGCUCAACCUGGGAACUGCAUUCGAAACUGGCAGGCUAGAGUCUUGUAGAGGGGGGUAGAAUUCCAGGUGUAGCGGUGAAAUGCGUAGAGAUCUGGAGGAAUACCGGUGGCGAAGGCGGCCCCCUGGACAAAGACUGACGCUCAGGUGCGAAAGCGUGGGGAGCAAACAGGAUUAGAUACCCCUGUAGUCCC